AUCACGAUCGAAGUCGCGUCGCUACGUCGAAGUCGUCCGAGGAACAAUUCUCUUUUCUAAGUAUCAGGAAAUACAAUAAAACACACAGAUAUACCUACGUACGAGUAUAAAGUGAUUAAAUUCGUAUAUAACAAUUUCCGUUCACUUUGUAUCGUUUCUAUAUUUGCUUCAAGCUCGACCGAACGAAGCAAGAUGUAACCUGCCGUGACAAAUAUCGUCGUUUCGCUACGUUUUACGAAUCGGUUAUCGUGACAGUUAAGAAACCGCAGUGUAAUAAUAGUUCAUUACUCGUGAGAAAUCAUCGCGCCUUCUGCUCGGGAUCGUGUCGCGAAAAGUAAUAAUUGGUAAUAGUGCGACGAUCAACCACUCGGAAUGGCGCGCGUCUUUACCUGUUCGUUCGAGUUACGGUAAGGUGACCUACGCGUGACGUCACAUAACACAUUCCUUGCGAAGUGAACGGCUGAACGCCGAGUCCUACGCCGCAGCGAAAUAGUGCGUUACAAAAUGGAGAUGCUCGUCGAAUCUCUGCUCUUCAAUUAUUAAUAAUUUCGGUCUUCAAAUAAUCAUAAGACGUCAACUGCCCAACAUACCUCAUGCCGGGUAACACCAUGGAUUCUCAUAAACAUAGCAAACGCGUCAAGAUCCCACAAAGGUCUUCCGGCGAUAUCCUGAGGCUGUGCUCGCCGCAGGGGUGCGUGUCUUUUUUUGAGUGUGCCCAUACAAGAGAUGUUGAGAAGCUCGAAGGAUACGAUAAUAGAGACGAUCUGAUAAACCGACUUGCUUGAUGCCGGCCGAGGGUGACCGGCAAUCAGAUGUGUUACUUCCGGUCUUAAAAUUGAUAUCAAUAUGCGAGUUUGUACAAGAUUAAUAAAUACAUAUAAUUGAAACGAUAGAUUAAUUGCAAGAGUGAAUGAUUUUAAAAGAACGAACAAAAGAGUGACAAAAUAAAAAUGUAUA